GACGUAGGGCGCGAGCGUUGUCCGGAUUUAUUGGGCGUAAAGAGCUCGUAGGCGGUUUGUCGCGUCGUUCGUGAAAACUCACAGCUUAACUGUGAGCUUGCGGUCGAUACGGGCAGGCUAGAGUUCGGUAGGGGAGACUGGAAUUCCUGGUGUAGCGGUGAAAUGCGCAGAUAUCAGGAGGAACACCGGUGGCGAAGGCGGGUCUCUGGGCCGAUACUGACGCUGAGGAGCGAAAGCCAGGGGAGCAAACGGG
rnacentral:rRNA from 1 species